UAUGCUGUCUCGAAGACUAAGCCAUGCACGUGUAAGUACGAGCCGUAAAGGACGGUGAGACUGCGGAAGGCUCAUUAUGUCAGUCGUAGUUCCUUAGAUCGUACGCUGACUGGUAUAACUGUAGAAAAUCUAGAGCUAAUACAUGCACCUGAAGGCGCCGAUCCCCGGAGAGGCGCGCGUUUAUUAGAACAAGACCGGUGCCGGGGCCCGUCCCCGGCCACACCGUGUUGACUCUGGAUAACAGUGCCGAUUGCCGAAGGCUCACGCCCGAGGCGACGUAUCUUUCAAAUGUCUGACCUAUCAGCUGGUUGGCCGUAGCGGUGACGGCCACGGGCUUGACGGGUAACGGGGAAUCAGGGUUUGAUUCCGGAGAGGGAGCCUGAGAAACGGCUACCACUUCUAAGGAAGGCAGCAGGCGCGCAAAUUACCCACUCUCGAAACGAGGAGGUAGUGAAGAGAACUAACGUGACGCUAGCCCGAAGAGGCAGCGCUGUGGAAUGAGAUCCGUUUAAAGCCUUGUCAGAUGACCCAGUAGAGGGCAAGUCUGGUGCCAGCAGCCGCGGUAAUUCCAGCUCUAUAAGCAUAUGCGGGAGUUUGUUGCAGUUA
rnacentral:rRNA from 1 species